GCCUCGGGUCUUUGGAGAGGACCAGAGAGUGGUGUGUAUUCCCAUGGGAUGCUGAGUCCCCAAUUUGGGUUCCAGAGCAUUGUGUGUGCUCUGUUCCUGCUGAUACGCAUCAGCCACCUAUAGACUCAUUAGGCUUUAAUGAGGAACCCGCCUGUCCUGAUGCUGGCGGGUCUCCAGUGUCAGGUGUAUCCAGCUACAAUCAGCCUCAACGGAUGAAUUUGCCUGCUUGGACAUUUGCUAUACUGAAUAACACUCCCUCGGGAGAAAUGUUUAAUUAUUUCUUCCAGGAAUGCCGCUUGAGAAGCUGUUGAUCAGCCUUGGUGGUCCGUGUCCCAGGUGACAUGCUUAUUCCAGUGGAACUCUCAGGAGAGAACCAACUCAUCCUCACAUGACACGGGAGUGACUUUGACAUCACAGUGGCUGCAGUUUUUGGCUUCCCUAUCUAUCUCUUAGCCAGUUGCCACGGCAGGCAAACUGGUGCAGGCCUGGUUGAGCCAGUAAGACAAAUGAGUUAUCAGUGACGAGUAUGUUCCUGGGGACAUCUUUCAACCUAAGGCAGAGAGUCUGUGAGGCCUGGACAGACUUCUCAUUGACGGCAUUGCCUGCAGCAAGCUCCUGUUACCCAUCCUUUGUUUGAAUGCUAAUUCCUGUUUUGGGCCACCUUUUGCUGGAGGACCCUGGGAACUGAGGCUUCCACCUUGGGGAUUUCCACCAUGCCUGCCUUUGGUAUUUAAGGCUCCACCCCUGCAAGAAUAA